rnacentral:pre_miRNA from 1 species
GAUUUCAACUAAAAAAAGUUAUCAACAAGAAAGUUGUAUAACUCACCAAGAUCUACUUUUAUGUUUGUCAUUUCUUCAUCGAUAAAGUGUUAGUAAUAUUGUUCAUAAAUUUUACAUAUGUGUGUUAUGGUUUAUAAAACCAGAUGAGAGAUAUAUGAAUUUUGUGAACAAUGUUACUAUCACUUUAUCGGAUGAAGAAAAGACCAAAAUAAAGGUUAUAGAUCUUGAUGAGCUAUACAACUUUGUUGUUCAUGGCUUUUUCAGUUGAAAUC